rnacentral:rRNA from 1 species
UACGGAGGGUGCAAGCGUUGCUCGGAAUUAUUGGGCGUAAAGGGUAGGUAGGUGGUCUCAUUUGUCUGGGGUGAAAUCCUUGAGCUUAACUCAAGAAGUGCCUCAGAAACGGUGAGACUAGAGUUCUGGAGAGGGUCGUGGAAUUCCCGGUGUAGCGGUGAAAUGCGUAGAGAUCGGGAGGAACACCAGAGGCGAAGGCGGCGACCUGGACAGAUACUGACGCUGAGGCACGAAAGCGUGGGGAGCGAACAGG